GUCCUCGCUUUGGCAGCACAUAUGCUAAAAUUGGAACGACAUAGAGAAGAUUAGCAUGGCCCCUGCACACAAGGAUGACGUGCAAAUUCGUGAAGAAUUAUUUU